UACGUAGGGUGCGAGCGUUGUCCGGAAUUAUUGGGCGUAAAGGGCUCGUAGGCGGUCUGUUGCGUCGGGAGUGAAAACUCAGGGCUUAACCCUGAGCCUGCUUCCGAUACGGGCAGACUAGAGGUAGGCAGGGGAGAGCGGAACUCCUGGUGUAGCGGUGGAAUGCGCAGAUAUCAGGAAGAACACCGGUGGCGAAGGCGGUUCUCUGGGCAUUACCUGACGCUGAGGAGCGAAAGUGUGGGGAGCGAACAGG
rnacentral:rRNA from 1 species